GAUGAACGCUGGCGGCGUGCUUAAUACAUGCAAGUCGAGCGAACAGACGAGGAGUUUGCUCCUCUGACGUUAGCGACGGACGGGUGAGUAACACGUGGAUAACCUCCCUAUAAGACUGGGAUAACUUCGGGAAACUGGAGCUCUUACCGGAUCCUAUCUUGAACCGCAUUGUUCAAUAGUGAAAGACGGUUUUGCUGUCACUUCUCGAUGGAUCCGCGCCUGAUUAGCUAGUUGGUAAGGUAACGGCUUACCAAGGCAACGAGGCGUAGGCGGCCUGGGAGGGUGGUCGGCCAGAGUGGGUGGAAGACACGGUCGGGACUCCGACGGGAGGCAGCAGUAGGGAAGCGGCCGCAGUGGGCGAAAGCGUGACGGAGCAGCGCGGCGGGAGUGAUGAAGGUCUGCGGGGCGUAAAGCUCUGUUAGUAGGGAAGAACAAAUGUGUAAGUAGCUGUGCACGUCGUGACGGUAGCUGAACAGGAAGCCACGGCUAACUACGUG
rnacentral:rRNA from 1 species